GUGUCAGCAGCCGCGGUAAUACGUAGGUGGCAAGCGUUGUCCGGAAUUACUGGGUGUAAAGGGAGUGUAGGCGGGAUUUUAAGUCAGAAGUGAAAAUUACGGGCUCAACUCGUAACCUGCUUUUGAAACUGAAAUUCUUGAGUGAAGUAGAGGCAAGCGGAAUUCCUAGUGUAGCGGUGAAAUGCGUAGAUAUUAGGAGGAACACCAGUGGCGAAGGCGGCUUGCUGGGCUUUUACUGACGCUGAGGCUCGAAAGCGUGGGGAGCAAACAGGAUUAGAUACCCUGGUAGUCCACGCCGUAAACGAUGAUUACUAGGUGUGGGGGGAUUGACCCCUUCCGUGCCGGAGUAAACACAAUAAGUAAUCCACCUGGGGAGUACGACCGCAAGGUUGAA
rnacentral:rRNA from 1 species